UGAGAAGACAGUACUGCAGAAAAUGCAGAUAUUGUGGGAGACGCUCACCAAUACCCCAGAAAAACCAGCCUUUCAAAAUGGAAACAGUGCCAUGGCUAAGAAAUUGCACUGCUCCCACUUUGUAGUUGGCACGUCUACUAGUGGCUGAGCCAGAAGCUAUGUUAGAUGCACACCUGUUGGACCAGAGUUAAAACCAGAUGUCGACUGACACAUACCACGAGAGAAACACAACGACCACUGACUACCUCGAGUCUCUUCCAAGAUGAAUGGCUCUAAGUCACACUGUGUCAUCCUGCUGACACUCUAAAUGCAAAUUGAAAGUGAAAUCUUGUAUUACGAAUCGUGAUACAUUUAGUAAGCUCUAAUUUACCUCCAAGCCCGCAACCUGGUACAUCAUGACCCUUAGUAACUUUCUAGCAAAAUU